ACCGUUGAUGGUCUGUGAACUACACUAUCGAGUGUCGGUGUUGUUUGUAGGUUUGUUUGUUUGAAAUCGGUAGAAAGAAAACCUGCAUAAAUUGUUCAUUUUUCUCUAUACUUAGGAUAUAUGGAACUGCAUAUAAGCAAACCCACAUAUCUUAAACAAAAUUGAAAUGAAGAUACUUUAUGUAACAAAUUUUUAGCUACACAAGACAAGGAGUAAAAGCAAAGAUGUAUGAAGAAAGAAUAUCUAAGAGUAGUGCAUUAUACAUUACGUUUUCUUGUAGGUGUUUACAUCCAGAUUACUGCAAAUAGUUAUCUGGGUUUCAAGUUUCUGAUUAGAAUUUCAUAAAUAAGAAGUGAACAACUUUCUGAAAUGUCAUUGAUAGAAAUUUUGUUCAGUUAGGUAGGUGUACGUUUGCUGAUAUUUCCCGUUCACUUUCUUAUGUAAGUAUUUAUUAUAGGUAACUAGUAAUGUACCUACCUAUGCUUAAGAUCAGAUACGUAGUUGUUGGAGUGUAAUAAUGGUUUUAUUUACAAAGACAUUGUCAUUGACAUGAACAUUGAUAAGUAAAAGCCCUUGUUACCCUCCUGUGUAAGUAAAUCUCUUGUUAUACAAGUGGGGAAGAUAAUUUAUGAUGAGCUGCCCUAUUGUUCAAGUUACUAGUAGGUACAACUUCAGGUUAUUAUACAGCAAGACAAACAAGGUUCUGAAUUACCCGAGGUGUUACCUAUAUAACUCUCGCCAGGAAAGAUUGCCGGUCACAGCGCACCUUGUGUCGAUUUACAAUCUUUGUUUUUAUUAAGAUGCGAGCGACUUCUGGAAUAGGAUCGUGCUAAUGUUGAACAAAAAGUCUUUUCGUUCAACAUUGACACGAUACUAUCCCGGAAGUUGCUAGCCCCUUACGAAAGACAGAGAUUGUAGAUCGGGAUCAAGUUUUCUGUGACCGGCAAUCUUUCCUGGCCAGAGUUAUAUUAAAAUUUCAGGUAAAGGUUCCGUAUACCUGUUUGAAGUAUUGCAAGAGAGAAACUGUUAUACAGUGCUUACAUAGUGGUUGAUGGACAAUGAAUUAUAAGAUGAAUAAUGUAUUUAUUAAAUUACACAUGUUACAUUGACCACAAGAAGGUUCUGUCCCAUCUCUGAUGAAAUAAAGCAAUGUAAUGUUCCUUUAGCAAGGGAUGUGGAUUAUACCUGCAACGCAGAGUACGCCCUUCUCCAAAUGUUCAUAGGUAAUUUGAAACUGUUGUCGCUUAACUAAAAUAUUUUAUGUUUAGCACUAAAUUUCAAAUUAACUAAAUUGGGGUGCAUAAUAAAGGGUGGUGACUUGCAUAACGCAUUAUAGGGAUUUCAAUGUAAAAUUUAUAACAUGCAAUUAUUGGUUCCCCAAA